rnacentral:rRNA from 1 species
CAGAGAUGCUUUGGUGCCUUCGGGAACUCUGAGACAGGUGCUGCAUGGCUGUCGUCAGCUCGUGUUGUGAAAUGUUGGGUUAAGUCCCGCAACGAGCGCAACCCUUAUCCUUUGUUGCCAGCGGUCCGGCCGGGAACUCAAAGGAGACUGCCAGUGAUAAACUGGAGGAAGGUGGGGAUGACGUCAAGUCAUCAUGGCCCUUACGAGUAGGGCUACACACGUGCUACAAUGGCGCAUACAAAGAGAAGCGACCUCGCGAGAGCAAGCGGACCUCAUAAAGUGCGUCGUAGUCCGGAUUGGAGUCUGCAACUCGACUCCAUGAAGUCGGAAUCGCUAGUAAUCGUAGAUCAGAAUGCUACGGUGAAUACGUUCCCGGGCCUUGUACACACCGCCCGUCACACCAUGGGAGUGGGUUGCAAAAGAAGUAGGUAGCUUAACCUUCGGGAGGGCGCUUACCACUUUGUGAUUCAUGACUGGGGUGAAGUCGUAACAAGGUAAGCGUAGCGAG